rnacentral:rRNA from 1 species
AGUGCUAAAGGCGGAUGCCUUGGCAUCUAGAGGCGAUGAAGGACGUUGUAACUUGCGAUAAGCCCCGGUGAGCCAGUACACAGGCUAUGACCCGAGGAUUUCCGAAUGGGGAAACCCGACAUUUAUGUCACCACUUUUGUGGAGCAAACCCGGAGAACUGAAACAUCUUAGUACCCGGAGGAAAAGAAAUCAAUUGAGAUUCCGUUAGUAGUGGCGAGCGAAAGCGGAACAGCCCUUAAGCUAUAUUUUGUCUAGUAGAAUGUUAUGGAAAGAACAGCCAUAGUAGGUGAUAGCCCUGUAUACGAAAGACUUAAUAUAGUGAAAUCGAGUAGGUCGGAACACGUGAAAUUUUGACUGAAUAUGGGAGGACCAUCUUCCAAGGCUAAAUACUCCUAGAUGACCGAUAGUGAACAAGUACCGUGAGGGAAAGGUGAAAAGUCCCCCUGUUAGGGGAGUGAAAUAGUACCUGAAACCUUUAGCAUACAAUCAGUCAGAGCCCUUCGGGGUGAUGGCGUACCUUUUGUAUAAUGGGUCAGCGACUUAAUUUCAGUAGCAAGCUUAACGUUAGGUAGGCGUAGGGAAACCGAGUCUUAAAUGGGCGACAAGUUGCUGGAAUUAGACCCGAAACCAAGCGAUCUAUCCAUGGUCAGGUUGAAGUGUGAGUAACAUCACAUGGAGGACCGAACCCACUUAUGUUGAAAAAUGAGGGGAUGAACUGUGGAUAGGGGUGAAAGGCCAAUCAAGCUUGGAGAUAGCUGGUUCUCUCCGAAAACUAUUUAGGUAGUGCCUCUUGUAUUACCAAUGGGGGUAGAGCACUGUUUCGGCUAGGGGGUCAUCCCGACUUACCAAACCGAUGCAAACUCCGAAUACCAUUGAGUAUUAGCAAGGGAGACAGACUACGGGUGAUAACGUCCGUGGUCGAAAGGGAAACAACCCAGACCAACAGCUAAGGUCCCAAAUUAUGAUUAAGUGGAAAACGAUGUGAAUAGACUUAUACAGCUAGGAGGUUGGCUUAGAAGCAGCCAUCCUUUAAAGAAAGCGUAAUAGCUCACUAGUCUAGUUUGUCUGCGCGGAAGAUUUACCGGGGCUAAAUCAUAAACCGAAGCUUUGGAUCAUCUUCGGAUGAUGGUAGGAGAGCGUUCUGUAAGCCUGUGAAGGUGAACCGAGAGGUUUGCUGGAGGUAUCAGAAGUGCGAAUGCUGACAUGAGUAACGAAUAAGGAGGUGAAAAACCUCCUCGCCGGAAGACUAAGGAUUCCUGUCCAACGCUUUUCGUGGCAGGGUUAGUCGGCCCCUAAGGCGUACCCGAAAGGGGAAGUCGAUGGGAAACAGGUUAAUAUUCCUGUACCAGUUGGAAGUGACGGAUCUAGUAAAUUGUAUACACUUAUUGGAUUGUGUAUGCCGUGAAUAGGUUCCAAGAAAUAGCUCCAACAUAGACCGUACCAUAAACCGACACAGGUGGUCAGGUAGAGAAUACCAAGGCGGAUGAGAUAACUCUGGUGAAGGAACUAGGCAAAAUGUAACCGUAACUUCGGGAGAAGGUUAGCCAACUUUAAGGCAACUUUAAGUUGGUCGAAGAUACCAGGUGGCUGCGACUGUUUACUAAAAACACAGCACUCUGCUAACACGAAAGUGGACGUAUAGGGUGUGACGCCUGCCCGGUGCCGGAAGGUUAAAUGAUGGGGUUAGCUUCGGCGAAGCUCUUGACUGAAGCCCCGGUAAACGGCGGCCGUAACUAUAACGGUCCUAAGGUAGCGAAAUUCCUUGUCGGGUAAGUUCCGACCUGCACGAAUGGCGUAACGAUGGCCACACUGUCUCCACCAGAGGCUCAGUGAAAUUGAAAUAGCUGUUAAGAUGCAGUUUACCCGCAGCUAGACGGAAAGACCCCGUGCACCUUUACUACAGGUUCACACUGAAAUUUGGUUUUAUAUGUGUAGGAUAGGUGGGAGACUUUGAAGCUUGGACGCCAGUUCAGGUGGAGUCACCCUUGAAAUACCACCCUUGUAAGAUUGACUUUCUAACUUUGAUUUAAUCAAGGACAGUGUGUGCUGGGUAGUUUGACUGGGGCGGUCUCCUCCUAAAGAGUAACGGAGGAGCACGAAGGUAUCCUCAACACGGUCGGACAUCGUGUGUAGAGUGCAAAAGCAAAAGGAUGCUUGACUGCGAGAUCGACGGAUCGAGCAGGUAGGAAACUAGGUUUUAGUGAUCCGGUGGUUCUGAAUGGAAGGGCCAUCGCUCAACGGAUAAAAGGUACGCCGGGGAUAACAGGCUGAUACUGCCCAAGAGUCCAUAUCGACGGCAGUGUUUGGCACCUCGAUGUCGGCUCAUCUCAUCCUGGGGCUGGAGCAGGUCCCAAGGGUAUGGCUGUUCGCCAUUUAAAGAGGUACGCGAGCUGGGUUUAGAACGUCGUGAGACAGUUCGGUCCCUAUCUGCUGUGGGCGUUUGGAGAUUUGAGGGAAGCUGAUCCUAGUACGAGAGGACCGGAUUGGACGAACCUCUGGUGUUCCGGUUGUCACGCCAGUGGCAUUGCCGGGUAGCUAUGUUCGGAAAGGAUAACCGCUGAAAGCAUAUAAGCGGGAAGCCUCACCUAAGAUGAGAUCUCCCUUGA